rnacentral:rRNA from 1 species
AGACGUAGGGGGCAAGCGUUGUCCGGAAUUACUGGGCGUAAAGGGUGCGUAGGCGGCAUUACAAGUCUAAUGUGAAAUCCCCGUGCUUAACAUGGGGUUUGCAAUAGAAACUGUAAAGCUAGAGUACAGGAGAGGUAAGUGGAAUUCCUAGUGUAGCGGUGAAAUGCGUAGAUAUUAGGAAGAACACCAGUGGCGAAGGCGACUUUCUGGACUGUAACUGACGCUGAAGCACGAAAGCGUGGGGAGC